rnacentral:lncRNA from 1 species
UUUUUCCCAGCUACUCUCGAACUCUAGAAUACAACAUCAUAGCAUGUCUUCUAGAAUCUAAAUUACUCGUUCUGAUUUCUCGUUCGUCUGAGGAUGAAAUGAUGUACUGAAAUUGAGUUUAGUGCCUAAAGCCUUAUGAAGUUUACUCUAAAAUCUCUAUGUAAACCUAGGAUCAUGAUAAGAAAUAAUAGAUGUCAGAACUUCGUGUAAUCUCACAAUAUCUGACACAUAAAAUUUUGCUAGUUUCCCGAGUCAGUAAUCUGUUCUGACUAGAAUAAAAUGGGCUAAUUUAGUCAAUCUGUCAACAAUCACCCAGAUCAAAUUUCUCUUUUUCGAAGUUACAGGAAAACUAGAUACAAAAUCUAUCGUGACUCAUUCCCACUUCCACUCAGGAAUCAUAAUUGGAUGUAAUAAUCCUGACGACACUUGAUGUUCUGCUUUUACCUGCUGACAAAUCAAACAUUUGGCUAUGAACUCACAUAUCUCAUGUUUCAUACCCGGUGACCAGUAUACCUGUUUUGAAUCACAAUACAUCUUCGUACUACCAAGAUGAACAGAGUAUGUACUACUGUGAGCUUCAAAUAGAAUGUCACUUUUCAACUUUAAAAUAUUCAAAACACAAAUUCUAUUGUGGUAAUAUAAUAUACCAUCAUCACCAAUACUGUAUUCAAUAGUCAAUUUGUUCCGCACCAAGUUUAGUUUCAUUAACAACUCCGGAUCCUCAUUUUGCAACUCCUGAAUUUGUUGUAGAAACAAGAGUUUAGUCUUCAAUUGCGCUAAUCCAGAAUCGGUAACAGCCCGUUUUUAGUGAUAUUGGAAUAGUGGUUUCAGGACCACAAAUUCGACGAGUAAAUUUUUAUUUUACUAUUAUUUUAAUGUCUACCGGAUAUUAGUAAGGUUGUAUAACAAAAUUUUAAUGUUUUCAAGGUUAAUUAAGUGAAAAGGACUAAAUCAUAAAAAGGGUCAAAGUUGAGUUCUAUUAGUAAAAAUGGUCAAAUGGCUAUGGAACUUUAAAAUAAGGGACUUGAAGGGUUAAUAAACCAUUUAAUUAAGAUAGUGGAUCUACAUGGAAAGGUUUUAUUGACAUUUUGUUAGUUUUUAAAGGUUAAUUUGGUAAUUAGGUAAAUAAAAUAAAAAAACAAAAAGGAAUUAAAAGAUGGUAUCAUCUUUAGUCUUCUUCUCCACCGAAUUUGAAGGGGAGAAUAGCCAUUGUUAGGGACUUGAGGUUCGGCUAGCUUUGGUGUGCGCAUGUAAGUGAUUUUGAUCCUUGUUUUUAAUUAUUUUUUUAUGUUUUUGAGGUCGUUUUAGCUUAAUCUAUCUAGCUCAGGGUUCAAUUUGUAAAACUAUUAAAGGUUGAAGGUUAUACCAUGAAUUUUCUUGAAUUUUUUUAUGUUAAUUGAUAGAUUAUGAAUCUUGAGAAAUAAAUAAGUUUAUAAAGUAAUUUUUAAUGAAAUUUACAUUAGGGAUUGAUUUGUAAAAAUAGUUAAAUUUCUUGUUAAAUUUAUGAAAUGAUGUUCUUUUUGGGUUGGUUUAAGUCCCUAAAGAAUUUGGUUAGCCUAUAAGAUGGAUUAAAAUGCUUAGAUUUCAAUUUAUGAGCUUAAGGACUAAAUUGCGAAAAGUUAAAAUGUUAAGGGCAAAAUGCUAAUUUUGCAUAAAUAUGAAAUGUGGAUUGAAUUGAAUGUUUAAGGUUAAUUGAAGUACUUAAUUGAAGAUAAUUAUCUAUUUAGAUCAAACUAAACCACGUACGAACCUAGACCGAGGAAAAGCAAAAGUUUCGGAUUAGCUCGAUAUAGUCGUCACACCCCUAGUUGACAAGGUAAGUUUGUAUUAAUGUUAUUUAAUUUUUUAUUAAUAUGUUAUUUACAAUUUUGAUUGAAUUAUGUAUAAAAAAGGUGAUUUUAUGACGAUUAUUGAAUCCCGGUUGAGCCUUAGAAAUUUGUAGGAUACAAAUGACAUGUCAUUAAGGAUUUCAUGUUUCGGGUGCUGGUCUUGAAUGUCCUAGCGAUGGCUGAGGUCCUGCAUUUGUUAUGGAUACUCCACAGCUCAUGUGAGUAGCAUCGUGUAGCUUACAUUUUGACCCACAGCUCGUGUGAGUAGGCCCUUUUCACAACUCGUGUGAGUAGUGAUGUAAAGGAAAGGUUGUGGUUAUAUGUAAAGGCACACUUUGCGUGAGCUUUCUCGAGUACCCAAUGAAAUUCUAGACGAUUCAAUGAAUAAGAAAAGGGAUUGAAAUGGUAAGUUCUCAAAUGGAAUUAUACAUAAGUUUAUGGAUAGAAUACAUGAAUCAAAUGAUGUAUUUCGUAUAAAAAUGACUUAUCAUAUGGUUAGUUCAAAUGAGUUAUGUAUUAUGUAGAAAUGUGCUAACUUGUAUAUUGAUGGUGACAUAUAGGCUUAUAACAAGCUUAUGAUUUGGACUUUAAUGUACUUAUGCUUUAAGUUAUACAAAUUGAAAUGGUAAGUUAUGUUUUGAGCUAUAUGAACUUACUAAGCAUUAAUUGCUUAUGUAGUUUCUUUCCUAUGUUUUAUAGAUUAACGAAAACUCGAUCGAUUUGGAAGCUCAUCAGAGAUCUAUCACACUGUCCAACAUAAAUAUCGAUAGUUUUUGAAUGUUUUGGCCAAGGUUAUAAUGGCAUGUAUAGGAUGAAUUGUAAUGUUAUUUUUGUGAAUGGUUUGAUUGUGUUUUGGUAUGUAUAAGUUGUGUAAGUUAACUUUGUUGAUACCAUUUGAUGUCUUGCUAGAUUGUGUCAUUUUGCGUUAUCUUAUUUUUCAUGUUUGGAAUGGCUCAUAUGGUAUGUUAUGAAUUGGUAUGAUUAUGGUCAAGUAAUGGCAUGUUUUGGAAAGUAUUGAACUAUAAUUUAAUGUUUGCAAUUUGGUAAGAUUGACAUGUUUAGGUAACUGUUAAUGAUUGCAUUUGAGGUGUCUUUAAAUGACAUAUUGGUUAGUUGAACUAGGACUUUUGGAAUGACAAAUCUAUGUAUGUUUUGAUAGGGUUUUCUUGCCUUAAAAAUGUGCACAAGAGACCUAAAUUUUCAUGCAUGAAAUGGUAUAGAAAAUGGUUUUUUUUAGGCAAAUUUGGGUCUACACAACUUGAGACAUAAGCAUGUGACU